UCAACUGUCUACGUUUAUACUCACUGAUGACUCGUGUUUCCUUUCGAGGACAACUGGGCUUUUCUCCUCUUCUCUGCUGGAUUCUGCUGUUUCCCACAAGGUGUUCAGAGAGUCUGCCCUGAAUCCUACAAGCAGGAGAUGAGAAACACACAGUGACACCAGCAGGAGAACAUGAAGAUGUGGUGACAGUUGUCCUCCUCCUGCAGAGUCCAGAGCAGUGCACUCCUACCACUGGUGCCCUAGCUAAGCCUGGGGGCCAGCAUGCCCGAUGAUAGUCUGGGAGUGCUGCAGAGUCCCCACAAUGGGCACCCAGCCUGUGCCCUUGCAUUCUGCAUGAUCGUGGCCAUUGUCACCUCAGAGCCCCUGUGUACAGAUCAGUGCAUCCUAGCAGAGCUGCAUGUGAGGAAAGACCACGUGAGUCCCGGGAAAGAGCUGAGGCCCUGCAGGGGAAGGUGGCCAGGACCGAGACCUGAUGCCUGUCUGGAGAAUCGUCUGUGGGUCCAAGAUGAAGGAUGAGAAGUGGUUGCUACGAAGGACC